rnacentral:pre_miRNA from 2 species
UUUGAGAGGAAUGUUGGCUGGCUCGAUGCGGGGGGCUUUGAGAGUGAUCAAAGUGAAAGGUAUCGGACCAGGCUUCAUUCCCCUCAAA